rnacentral:misc_RNA from 1 species
UUUCUGUGCUUUUCCAACAUACCAUUCCUUGUCAUCAAACUUCUUCCCAUUAAGAGACUCAACAGUUUUCGCAGCAUCAUCAGCAUUUUCCAAAUUGACAAAUACAAAACCAUUUGAUUUUCCAUCUGCAUCUCUCAUAACUACAAAACUAGUAAUUACUCCAUACUCACCAAAAAUAUUCAUCAAAUCCUCAUCUUCUGUUGAUUCAGAUAAAUUUUUCAGAGACAUUAUUGAAUUUCGUCUUAUUCAAUGUACUAUCUCUUUCCUGCUAACGAAGGAAGUGUCCAACAUAAACUUCUUUAUCAUAAUCAGCAUGCCAAUCAAUUUAUCUAUAGCAUUUUGAG